ACUUUUUCUCUUUGUAAUCUUGGUGUGGAUUAGCAUACAUUAGUCUUCACUGUAAGGGCAAAGAGACAUUAAUUUCAAAAUUUAAACUCAGAACAAUCAAUAGAGAUCAA
rnacentral:snoRNA from 1 species